rnacentral:rRNA from 1 species
UGGGUUGUUGCUGGCUCUCUAGGGAGCAUGUGCACGCCUUGUCAUCUUUAUAUCUCCACCUGUGCACUUUUUGUAGACCUGAAAAGGUCUAUGUUGCUUCAUUUUACCCCAAUGUAUGUCUAUAGAAUGUUGUGCCUAUGAUAAUAUAUACAACUUUCAGCAACGGAUCUCUUGGCUCUCGCAUCGAUGAAGAACGCAGCGAAAUGCGAUAAGUAAUGUGAAUUGCAGAAUUCAGUGAAUCAUCGAAUCUUUGAACGCACCUUGCGCUCCUUGGUAUUCCGAGGAGCAUGCCUGUUUGAGUGUCAUUAAUAUAAAUCAACCUUCAACUUGUUUGAGUGGUUUGGAUGUGGGGGUUUGCUGGCCUUUCAAAAGGUUUCAGCUCCUCUGAAAUGCAUUAGCAGAACAAACCUUGUUCAUUGGUGUGAUAACUAUCUACGCUUAUGAAUGUGAGGGGCAGUUCAGCUUUCUAAUCGUCUUUGGACAAUUCAUCAUUAAUGUGACCUCAAAUCAGGUAGGACUACCCGCUGAACUUAAGCAUA